UACGUAGGAGGCGAGCGUUGUCCGGAGUUACUGGGCGUAAAGGGUGCGUAGGCGGCGGUUCGCGUCGCGAGAUGAAAUCUCCUGGCUUACCUGGGAGGGUGGUCGCCAGACGGGAUCGCUUGAGGGUCGGAGAGGGGCGUGGAAUUCCGGGUGGAGCGGUGAAAUGCGUAGAGAUCCGGAGGAACACCGACGGCGUAGGCAGCGCCCUGGACGACAACUGACGCUGAGGCACGAAAGCUGGGGGAGCGAACAGG
rnacentral:rRNA from 1 species